CGCGGCCUAUCAGCUUGUUGGUGGGGUGAUGGCCUACCAAGGCGACGACGGGUAGCCGGCCUGAGAGGGUGUCCGGCCACACUGGGACUGAGAUACGGCCCAGACUCCUACGGGAGGCAGCAGUGGGGAAUAUUGCACAAUGGGCGCAAGCCUGAUGCAGCGACGCCGCGUGGGGGAUGACGGCCUUCGGGUUGUAAACCUCUUCCACCAUCGACGAAGGUCCGGGUUUUCUCGGAUUGACGGUAGGUGGAGAAGAAGCACCGGCCAACUACGUGCCAGCAGCCGCGGUAAUACGUAGGGUGCGAGCGUUGUCCGGAAUUACUGGGCGUAAAGAGCUCGUAGGUGGUUUGUCGCGUUGUUCGUGAAAUCUCACGGCUUAACUGUGAGCGUGCGGGCGAUACGGGCAGACUAGAGUACUGCAGGGGAGACUGGAAUUCCUGGUGUAGCGGUGGAAUGCGCAGAUAUCAGGAGGAACACCGGUGGCGAAGGCGGGUCUCUGGGCAGUAACUGACGCUGAGGAGCGAAAGCGUGGGGAGCGAACAGGAUUAGAUACCCUGGUAGUCCACGCCGUAAACGGUGGGUACUAGGUGUGGGUUUCCUUCCUUGGGAUCCGUGCCGUAGCUAACGCAUUAAGUACCCCGCCUGGGGAGUACGG
rnacentral:rRNA from 1 species